CUGGCUCUGGCUCUCUGCCUCCUCCUAACCGGAGGGACAGAGAGCCAGGGCC
ensembl:miRNA